UGAGGGAUAUUGGGCAAUGGGGGAAACCCUGACCCAGCGACGCCGCGUGAGGGAAGACGGUCUUCGGAUUGUAAACCUCUGUCUUUGGGGACGAAAAAGGACGGUACCCAAGGAGGAAGCUCCGGCUAACUACGUGCCAGCAGCCGCGGUAAUACGUAGGGAGCGAGCGUUGUCCGGAAUUACUGGGUGUAAAGGGAGCGUAGGCGGGAAGGCAAGUUGGAUGUGAAAAGCUGUGGGCUCAACCGACAGACUGCAUUCAAAACUGUUUUUCUUGAGUGAAGUAGAGGCAAGCGGAAUUCCUAGUGUAGCGGUGAAAUGCGUAGAUAUUAGGAGGAACACCAGUGGCGAAGGCGGCUUGCUGGGCUUUUACUGACGCUGAGGCUCGAAAGUGUGGGGAGCAAACAGGAUUAGAUACC
rnacentral:rRNA from 1 species